rnacentral:misc_RNA from 1 species
CAACCCUCGAGCACUGCUCGGCGUUGGGGGCCUACAGCUAGUAGCCCCCUAAAACCACCGGCGAUGUCGCCCGCGGCUCCUUGCGUAGUAAGUCUUUCGCACUGGAACGCGGCGGCGCUGGCCGCUAAAUCGCCUAUAGGCACACAGAAC